rnacentral:rRNA from 1 species
GCAUAGCGACUAUCGUGGCAUAUCAAUAAGCGGAGGAAAAGAAACUAACAAGGAUUCCCCUAGUAACGGCGAGUGAAGCGGGAAGAGCUCAAAUUUGAAAUCUUCAAGGGUUCUACCUUGACGAAUUGUAGUUUAAAGAAGUGUUUUCUGUUGGAGUUUUGGUAAAAGUUCUUUGGAAUAGGACAUCAUAGAGGGUGAGAAUCCCGUAUUUGACCAUUACUUUCCAGCUGUGUGAUACACUUUCAAAGAGUCGGAUUGUUUGGGAAUGCAGUCCAAAAUGGGUGGUAAAUUUCAUCUAAAGCUAAAUACUGGCGAGAGACCGGAUAGCGAACAAGUACCGUGAGGGAAAGAUGAAAAGAACUUUGAAGAGAGAGUUAAACAGUACGUGAAAUUGUCAAAAGGGAAGCGUUUGACACCAGUGUUGUUUUCUCGAAAAUCAAUUAAAAAUGAUGGGAUUUUGUGUUGUAUUGACUUUAUCAGCUUUCUGCACUUUUUUCCUAUCUUUUUUAAUGCACUUUUCGUUUAACAAGUCAACAUCAAUUUCUUUUGUUGUAAAAGAGUCAUUGGAAGGUGGCUUUCUUUUCGGAGAAAGUGUUUAUAGCCUUUGGCUUCUGCAAUCGGAGAGAUUGAGGUCUGCAGCGUAGAUCCUUCGGGGUUAGAUAGCAUUUGUGCUAAGUUAUAGUUCUUUAUAGACAACUUGUUGACUAUGAUCAGUCCUGUAGCUUACUCGCUUAUGCUAUUUUACCUACGCUUAGGAUGUUGACGCGCGUGUGUGCGUG